rnacentral:rRNA from 1 species
CGUGCAGGAUGAAGGCCUUCGGGUUGUAAACUGCUUUUGUACGGAACGAAACGGUGAGCUCUAAUACAGUUUGCUAAUGACGGUACCGUAAGAAUAAGCACCGGCUAACUACGUGCCAGCAGCCGCGGUAAUACGUAGGGUGCGAGCGUUAAUCGGAAUUACUGGGCGUAAAGCGUGCGCAGGCGGUGAUGUAAGACAGAUGUGAAAUGCCCGGGCUCAACCUGGGACCUGCAUUUGUGACUGCAUCGCUAGAGUACGGUAGAGGGGGAUGGAAUUCCGCGUGUAGCAGUGAAAUGCGUAGAUAUGCGGAGGAACACCGAUGGCGAAGGCAAUCCCCUGGACCUGUACUGACGCUCAUGCACGAAAGCGUGGGGAGCAAACAGGAUUAGAUACCCUGGUAGUCCACGCCCUAAACGAUGUCAACUGGUUGUUGGGUCUUCACUGACUCAGUAACGAAGCUAA